GGAAUCUUCAGUAUCCUGAAAUUAAUUGGUUUCAAAUUCUCAAAUGUGAUUUUUUUUUUUAAAUAUUUGAACAUUAAGCAAAUACCAUAAUAUUCAACAACAAAAUUCCAUAUAAAGUAUAAUAUAAAUACAAAAAGCACCGAAAAAAUAUCUAUUGCACAAUGUUGCAAAGUGUAAACAAUCACAGUAAUUUUGAAUAAUUUUCAUCACAUAUGAACAUAUCCAAGAAUUAAAUAUAAUUCUCUUCAUUUAGUACCUUUUGAAAGAGCUUUUUCAUAUUUACUGAAAAUUAAAUAAAACAGUGUACAUUCUUUUUGUAAAAUUCAAUCUUUAAACAUUUUUUUUUGCUGUAAAUUUUUUCAUUAUUUGCCAAAGUUUUACAUUUUUGGUAAAAACUACAAAUUAAAGUGAAAAUUCUCUUAAAGAUGUAAAAGAGAAUACCCAAGUACAAACAAGGUUCUGGAAAAGAUUCCAUAUCUAUUGAAAAUGAUUUACUUUUAAGACAUUCAAGAAAGCUGAUUUAAAAUUAAAAAUUUCACUUUGAUAAAUCAAAAAUCAAAAAUUUAGAUGGUACAAAAUUUUUCUCAUGUGAAUAUAUCCCUAAUUUCACCGUAAUUUUUUACAACUUUGUAGCAAUGCCCUAAUUCUGAAUAUAAAUGACAAAUAAACAUAAAAUAAAAUAUAAAGUGCAAGAAUACAAUAUUUUUGAGAUUCUGGUAUGAGUAUAAAAAGUCCAACAAUCCCUGUGUACAGUAAACCAUCUUAUUUUCGCAGAUACUUUAUUUCGCGUUUAGCCAUUACUAAUCCUUUUUGCUGUGAUUUAAUUUUGCAAAUUUUAAACUGUUUCAUGUAGUUAAAUAAAGAAAGAUUUGUUUUUUAAAUAUUUGCAACAAUUAAUAAUUUUUUUUUCGCUUUAUUUUCUACUCCCGAAAGUUGGUUUGUUUACAGUAUACCAUUCUGAGAUUCUGGUUGUCAACAGUAAAAAGAAUAAAAAUGUUCUAUAUUUCUUUCAAAAUAAAACCUUUGUCAUAUAGUCAUGUUCCUCAACCGUAAGAGUGUAGAUUUUGAUCCUUUGUCCUUAUAUAAGUUUUUUUUCAAGGAGAACCACUCCUCAAUUCAUCACUUUAAAAAAAUUAAUUAAAUAAAAAAUUAACUGUCAAAUAUGGUUAAGGAACUAUUCAAUAUAAAAAAUCCACAACCAAGGAAUUUUUUUUUUUUAAAUAUUAAGUAUUAAUAGGUUAUUUUAAGAGUACACUGUAUAUGCUCCCAAAGUAAAAAGCAAAUUCAUAUCAAAAUUCCAUUGUUUACAACCAUAUUCAAUCAUUUUGAGUAUUAUUCUGAUAAAUAAAUCUUAAAAACAUUUUACCAUAGUUCCUUAGAUACUAAAACUGACAGGGUUAACAUGAGGGUUAACAAGGUAUGCAAUCAUAUAACAUACAAAAACUUCAAGGUACAACAAAUAGUAUUUCGAAAAACAUAGAAACCAAUAAUAUAAAAUAAACUAUGUUGCUGUUUAGUGUAUAAAUCCCUACCUUCUAUGUGCUUAUAUAUAAGUAUAAAAGUAUUGUAUCAAACCCAUAUUAAAUUUGAAAAAAAAAAAAAAAAAUGUUUUUGGUCAUAUUUUUUUGCAACAAAAAGAAGCGCCUUUUUAAUCAAUCACAAUUUGCACUUGCGCAGAAGCAGUUUAUACAAUUUGUUGCAUACCACUAAAAUUAUAAAUAAUGUAAAGAAUCAACAAUGUCCAUGUUUUGUUAUCAUGGUUAUCAAUCCAUAAUUUACUCUAAAUCAUAGUACCAAAAUUUAUAAAAGAACAAUGUCCAUCACCAAUGUGCAUGUUGUACCUGGCCAAGAACAAAACUGGAAUAUAUUUUUGUUGGGUUCCUAAAAUUUGUUUCAAAAAUAUCCUACAAGAAAUGUUUAUCAUUGAUAUCAUUAAAAAAAACCUGGCAAGAAUUGUACAUGCACUGAGAGCUCUUACAAUACCAUAUGGAUAAAUGCAAAGACAUUCCAAGGGACAUAACUCUAUAUUCAUGUGUAAUAUAAUUGAUCAACACUUAUUUUUUCAUUUGUCCAAGACAUUGAUAACAAAAAUUUCAAAAAAAUCUGGCAAGAAUAUUUUGUAGGGCAGUAUGCAAAACCACAUGGAUGUCCACUAUUUCUAUGCCCAUCACACUGCAAUAAUAAAUAACACAAAAACACAUUGACAGAAUUUGUUCAGCAGCAGAACAUUAUAAUUUUCCACAGUUAUGAAACCCUUUGAUUUUCUUAACAAACUAAUGUUUUACCAUAAGAAUGCUGCAUAUAAGCUAGAAAAUUAAAGAUGAAAAUCAGGAACUCAGCACUUCUAUAAAACCAUCUGCACCAGUGAAGGAUUUAUUAGAAGGGACAAAAGCCUAGUUACUAUGGAAUGUAUGAGUAUUCAAUUUUCUCACUAACUUUAAAACUAUUUCUUUUUAUUAUAGCUAUGUAAUUCAUACACAUUUUCUUGGUUGUUUGAUUUACAAUUUACUUCCUAUAUGCUAUUAUAAAUUCAACAACAUGACGGAAUCUGAAAAGUCCUGCUUUGAAAAAAGCUUUUUACAUUACGAUUGUACAAUAAUUAUUUUUUACAAUAUUCAAUUACAUAUCAAAUUGAAAUAUAACUCCUCUAAAAUACAUCUCUGA
rnacentral:lncRNA from 1 species